rnacentral:rRNA from 1 species
UACGUAGGAGGCAAGCGUUGUCCGGAAUUACUGGGUGUAAAGCGCGUGUAGGUGGUGGGCCAAGUCUGUGGUGAAAUCGCCCGGCUCAACUGGGCGAGGUCCGUGGAAACUGGUCGACUGGAGGACGGUAGAGGCGAGUGGAAUUCCCGGUGUAGUGGUGAAAUGCGCAGAGAUCGGGAGGAACACCAGUGGCGAAGGCGGCUCGCUGGGCCGGUCCUGACACUGAGACGCGAAGGCGUGGGGAGCGAACGGG